UACGUAGGUGGCGAGCGUUGUCCGGAUUUACUGGGCGUAAAGAGCGCGCAGGCGGUCGGCCAAGUCGAGUGUGAAAGCCCCCGGCUCAACUGGGGAGGGUCACUUGAUACUGGUCGACUCGAAGGCGGGAGAGGGAAGUGGAAUUCCCGGUGUAGUGGUGAAAUGCGUAGAUAUCGGGGGGAACACCAGUGGCGAAGGCGACUUCCUGGCCCGUUCUUGACGCUGAGGCGCGAAAGCUAGGGGAGCAAACGGG
rnacentral:rRNA from 1 species